UCAACACAUUCAGCCUCCCAGAGUGCUGGGAUUAUAGUGUGAGCCACUGUGCCCAGCCUAGAACCAUUUUCAACAACAAAAGACUCAACACAUUCAUGCUUCCAUGCAACAUGGCAAGUCCACUUCGAGAUGGUGCCUUUAUUUACCUUUGAUUAUUCUUCACCAUACACCCAUCUUACUUUGUGGAGUCUUCACAAUAAUGAACCACCCAAGACUCAUAUGGCCAGAACUGAAACCUGAGACUGUCAACGAGAACAAAGUGUCCCGAUACUUAUUUCUGCUUGGA
rnacentral:lncRNA from 1 species